rnacentral:rRNA from 1 species
GACGAACGCUGGCGGCGUGCUUAACACAUGCAAGUCGAACGGAAAGGCCCCUUUGGGGGUACUCGAGUGGCGAACGGGUGAGUAACACGUGAGUAACCUGCCCUUGACUUCGGGAUAACUUCAGGAAACUGGGGCUAAUACCGGAUAGGAAUCCUUGCUGCAUGGUGGGGGUUGGAAAGCUUCGGCGGUUUUGGAUGGACUCGCGGCUUAUCAGCUUGUUGGUGGGGUAGUGGCUUACCAAGGCUUUGACGGGUAGCCGGCCUGAGAGGGCGACCGGCCACAUUGGGACUGGGAUACGGCCCAGACUCCUACGGGGGGCAGCAGUGGGGAAUAUUGCACAAUGGGCGGAAGCCUGAUGCAGCAACGCCGCGUGCGGGAUGACGGCCUUCGGGUUGUAAACCGCUUUCAGCAGGGGCGAAGCUUGUGGUGACGGUACCUGCAGAAGAAGCACCGGCUAACUACGUG